AGUAUAUUGUGAUUUUGUUUCCUGUUUCAGCUCCUUGGUCAAGCAGCUAGAAACAUGGUGAUGCAGGAGGAUUCGAUACUACACUCCGAGGAUAGCCUGCGUAAAAUGGCAAUUAUUACAACACAUCUACAGUACCAGCAGGAAGCUAUACAGAAAAAUGUUGAACUUUCUACAAAUCUUCAAGACCAGCUGAAGCAUCUGUUGAAAUGAGAUGAAAGAUGGCGUGAAGGUGAAUAAAAGGAGCUGAAGCCCUGCAGGUAGUGAAGUAUGAUGGGGCGGAGGGAAGGAAACUGUGAGAGCUACAAUCCACCAAGAACCAUGUUCUUAAGCAAACCAUUCAGCUUUUAUGUGCAAUGUUUAGAACCUUUUCCAGGUGCUCCUUUGACUUAGUGGUGAUGAAAAACACAGUGGCUUCUGCUCAGGUCAGAUACAUAGUGUGCCUGUUGAGUAUGAACAAGUUGGCUUUGUAUGUGUAUAGAUUAUUAACAGCAAGAUUGGCUACAGUCCUUUACAUGAUAGUUCAGGGGAGGGAGAGCAGAUAAUGGGGAAUUCUAUAUCUUGUGCAGAAUCUGGAAGUGCUGACUUUGCAAUGCAGCUUUUAUAGUCAUUAUGUAUGCAGUACUGAUAUGAAUUUCUAAGUCAUUAAUACUUGAAUGCGCUGUUAAAGGUAGAGAAUUGAUAUGUUCGAGGAGAAGAAUCCAGACAAUAAUACUGCUGUACCUAAUAUUUGAUCUUUCUAACAAGGUUAAUACUGUAAUGUCAGUGCACUGAUACAUUAAAAUGUAUUCUUGAACAGUGAUAGAAUUGAAUGCUUUGCAUAUGUUCUAAUUGCUUCCUGGGUUAAACAUCAAUGGUGCGCUGUCAAUAUUCUUAGCUAAAUUACCAUUGGGAAAAUAAGUAGUGAGAAGGGCGUUUGUCAGUGAUUUAUAGGCAUUUUAAAGUGUAUUUCAUAUCGAAUUGAACAACUCCAUAAACAUUGGCAAAACAGGCUUUCAGAGCCCUCAGAUUAAUAUUGUAUAAGGUUCACUGCUAAGUUAUAUUUGUCAGUGGAAGUGGCAUUAACAUUUUGUUACAUUGUCCAAUGAUCCCAGCUCUUUAAGAAUUAUUGACAGCUUGUCUUUGUGGUGACUGCUGCCUUAAUCUUUCCUUUUCCAAUGUUGUUUGGGUCCAUGCUUCCCCUGUAUAUGAAAACUGCCUCAUUCUGCACAUUAGUAUCCAGGAGUGUGACAAUGUAAUAAGUACCAAGUUAACAUGCAGGCUUAAUAUUCUGUAGCAGAACCCUCUGUAUAAUAUGUGUAAUCAUGCAUUGUGAUGUUAAAAUGUAUAUCUGAUUUUGUUUUACUUGUUACAAAGCUGAAUUUAAUAACUUAAGCUGAAUUAUUAAAGCAAACGUGCAAUGUGUUA